UACGGAGGGUGCAAGCGUUAUCCGGAUUUACUGGGUUUAAAGGGCGCGUAGGCGGCCACCGCAAGUCGACUGUGAAAUCUCCGGGCUUAACCCGGAAAGGUCAGCCGAUACUGCGGGGCUAGAGUGCAGAAGGGGCAACUGGAAUUCUCGGUGUAGCGGUGAAAUGCGUAGAUAUCGAGAGGAACACCUGCGGCGAAGGCGGGUUGCUGGGCUGACACUGACGCUGAGGCGCGAAAGCUAGGGGAGCGAACGGG
rnacentral:rRNA from 1 species